rnacentral:lncRNA from 1 species
AUGGCAGGAGUGUGGGGGGCCAUGGCCCCUGCCCGUCUUGUAUUCCUCCUCCUCCUACUUGCAGCCAUGUGUUCCCAGGAGACACUUGCUGCACCAUGGCGUGCACCGGGAGCAGAUGAUCGUCCAGGUCCGUAUUUCAUGCCUCAGGGACAACCCAGAGGCCCUCUUGGUCAAUCAACAGAGUGGAAUACUGUCCCUGAGCCUGAGGGGGAUGCCAGAGAUGUGACUGGAGGAGAAGGUGAUCCAGCUUCCCCUCUGAGCUCCAGGAGUGAAACUUCAGCAGAUUGCAUGGAAGUGCCCCCAGGGAGGCCCUUGCCUGAUCCUCGGCUCCUUUCUGCACUGGAGCCCAGCUGGAAGCCCAGGGGUCCAGAAAGAGGAAAGGAUCAAUCCAAAAGAGGAAAAUACUCCCAAAGAUCAUCCCAUGUCCUAAAGGAACUGCUGAUGGAAAUGGAGAAGGCAGCGCGUGGAACUGACCAACAGACUGUGCAGAAAGAAGGCAGCAAUCCGACACUACCAGUCUCUGCCAAAGAAACACAGGCAGCACAAGCAACUGUCAUGCCAGGGAUGGAUGCUGGGAAAAACAUAAAGGCUGCUGUUCGCAAAUUUCUGCAAAAGCACUACAUCGCAUUGAUUGCAGUGGUCUCAGCUGUGCUGCUGUCUGGACUGGUGCUGGCCUGUAUUGCUAUGUCAUGGAUGUGGAAAAAAUAUCUGUGAGUUGGCUUUUCCCCAAAACAAUUUAUUGCUGCAUUUGGCAAUGGAGCAUUUGUGGUGACAGG